UACGAAGGGGGCUAGCGUUGCUCGGAAUCACUGGGCGUAAAGCGCACGUAGGCGGCUUUCUAAGUCAGGGGUGAAAUCCUGGAGCUCAACUCCAGAACUGCCUUUGAUACUGGAGAGCUUGAGUCCGGAAGAGGUGAGUGGAACUCCGAGUGUAGAGGUGAAAUUCGUAGAUAUUCGGAAGAACACCAGUGGCGAAGGCGGCUCACUGGUCCGGUACUGACGCUGAGGCGCGACAGCGUGGGGAGCAAACAGG
rnacentral:rRNA from 1 species